rnacentral:rRNA from 1 species
UCGCCUGUUUAUCAAAAACAUUGCUUCUCGAAAGAAUGAGAGGUAAAAUCUGCCCGCUGAUCUGAUAAAAUUGAAGGGCCGCGGUACUUUGACCGUGCAAAGGUAGCAAAAUCAAUAGCCUUUUAAUUGGGGGCCGGAAUGAAGGAUUUAAUGGAAUCAUAACUGUUUCCGUUGUAAACGAUGAAUUUCACUUUUUUGUAAGAAGGCAAAAAUGUAAAAGAAAGACGAGAAGACCCUAUAGAUCUUUAUGAACAAUUUUUUGAAGAAGCAAGAAGAAUUUUUUUUUGAGGUUCAGUUUAGUUGGGGUAACUUGAGGUCAGGAUAAAUACUUUGAGUUAAGCAUACCCAUAAGUAGGCAUGAGACCCGUUUAGGAUGAUAAAAAGAAAAAGAUACCUUAGGGAUAACAGCGUGAUCCUCUUGGAGAGCCCUUAUCGAUAAGGGGGUUUGCGACCUCGAUGUUGAAUUAAGAGUAACCUCAGGUGCAGAAGCUUGGGAGGUUGGGUCUGUUCGACCUUUAAAAUCUUACAUGAUCUGAGUUCAAACCGGAGA